GCCUCGGUGGUGUGGUGCUAGAGCACGCGUCCCACGAUCGGAUAAAACACGGGUUCGAUUCCCGACUGAGGCC